GACGAACGCUGGCGGCGUGCUUAACACAUGCCAGUCGAACGGAAAGGCCCUGCUUUUGUGGGGUGCUCGAGUGGCGAACGGGUGAGUAACACGUGAGUAACCUGCCCUUGACUUUGGGAUAACUUCAGGAAACUGGGGCUAAUACCGGAUAGGAGCUCCUGCUGCAUGGUGGGGGUUGGAAAGUUUCGGCGGUUGGGGAUGGACUCGCGGCUUAUCAGCUUGUUGGUGGGGUAGUGGCUUACCAAGGCUUUGACGGGUAGCCGGCCUGAGAGGGUGACCGGCCACAUUGGGACUGAGAGACGGCGCAGACUGCUACGGGAGGCAGCAGUGGGGAAUAUUGCACAAUGGGCGGAAGCCUGAUGAAGCAACGCCGCGUGCGGGAUGACGGCCUUCGGGUUGUAAACCGCUUUCGCCUGUGACGAAGCGUGAGUGACGGUAAUGGGUAAAGAAGCACCGGCUAACUACGUG
rnacentral:rRNA from 1 species